GAUGAACGCUGGCGGCGUGCUUAACACAUGCAAGUCGAACGGAAAGGCCCAAGCUUUCUUGGGUCCUCGAGUGGCGAACGGGUGAGUAACACGUGGGUGAUCUGCCCUGCACUUCGGGAUAAGCCCGGGAAACUGGGUCUAAUACCGGAUAGGACCACCUUUUGGAUGGUGUCGUGGCAAGUUUUUCGGUGUGGUUUGAGCUCGCGGCCUAUCAGCUUGUUGGUGGGGUAAUGGCCUACCAAGGCGUCGACGGGUAGCCGGCCUGAGAGGGUGUACGGCCACAUUGGGACUGAGAUACGGCCCAGACUCCUACGGGAGGCAGCAGUGGGGAAUAUUGCACAAUGGGCGCAAGCCUGAUGCAGCGACGCCGCGUGGGGGAUGACGGCCUUCGGGUUGUAAACUCCUUUCGGUAGGGAAGAAGCGCAAGUGACGGUACCUGGAGAAGAAGCACCGGCUAACUACGUG
rnacentral:rRNA from 1 species